rnacentral:lncRNA from 1 species
GACGGGCGUUAAUUUGAUAAAUUCUAGCUUGCGAACCCACGUCCCCCUCAACUCCAAAUCCCUCUCAGCUACCAUGGAACUUUGAGGCCGACGACCAAAGAAAAUGGCGCUCCUCACCGCUUCUCUGCUGUUAUUUUUCUAACGUCUUGCUCCCUUUCAGCGUCCAAUUUCUGUUUAUCUCUCAUGUUUGCGCAGUACGUAAUUUUAUCUCAGAGAAAGUGUGCACUAUAACUGCAGGUGAAGCCGAGGCGAAGCACAAUCAACGGACCUCCGAUUGUGAGGGAACGAUUCUACAAGGAACACUAAGCGAAGAAACGACGUGUAUGAAAGAAACCAUAAAGUUGAUUCAGUCAACAACCCCCCAGGGAAACCU